rnacentral:rRNA from 1 species
GUGAGGAAUAUUGCGCAAUGGAGGCAACUCUGACGCAGCCAUGCCGCGUGCAGGAAGAAGGCGCUACGCGUUGUAAACUGCUUUUAACCGGGAAGAAACCCCAGGACGUGUCCUGGGUUGACGGUACCGGAGGAAUAAGCACCGGCUAACUUCGUGCCAGCAGCCGCGGUAAUACGAAGGGUGCAAGCGUUAUCCGGAUUCAUUGGGUUUAAAGGGUGCGUAGGCGGAGCGUUAAGUCAGUGGUGAAAUCCUGCAGCUUAACUGUAGACUUGCCAUUGAGACUGGCGCUCUUGAGUGCGCUUGAAGUGGGCGGAAUGUGCCGUGUAGCGGUGAAAUGCUUAGAUAUGGCACAGAACACCAAUUGCGAAGGCAGCUCACUAAGGCGAUACUGACGCUGAGGCACGAAAGCGUGGGGAUCGAACAGGAUUAGAUACCCGUGUAGUCC